rnacentral:rRNA from 2 species
GUGAUCACGAUGUCGGAUUUAUUGGGCGUAAGCGAGCGCAGGCGGUUUUUUAAGUCUGAUGUGAAAGCCUUCGGCUCAACCGAAGAAGUGCAUCGGAAACUGGGAAACUUGAGUGCAGAAGAGGACAGUGGAACUCCAUGUGUAGCGGUGAAAUGCGUAGAUAUAUGGAAGAACACCAGUGGCGAAGGCGGCUGUCUGGUCUGUAACUGACGCUGAGGCUCGAAAGUAUGGGUAGCAAACAGGAUUAGAUACCCUGGUAGUCCAUACCGUAAACGAUGAAUGCUAAGUGUUGGAGGGUUUCCGCCCUUCAGUGCUGCAGCUAACGCAUUAAGCAUUCCGCCUGGGGAGUACGGCCGCAAGGCUGAAACUCAAAGGAAUUGACGGGGGCCCGCACAAGCGGUGGAGCAUGUGGUUUAAUUCGAAGCUACGCGAAGAACCUUACCAGGUCUUGACAUACUAUGCAAAUCUAAGAGAUUAGACGUUCCCUUCGGGGACAUGGAUACAGGUGGUGCAUGGUUGUCGUCAGCUCGUGUCGUGAGAUGUUGGGUUAAGUCCCGCAACGAGCGCAACCCUUAUUAUCAGUUGCCAGCAUUAAGUUGGGCACUCUGGUGAGACUGCCGGUGACAAACCGGAGGAAGGUGGGGAUGACGUCAAAUCAUCAUGCCCCUUAUGACCUGGGCUACACACGUGCUACAAUGGAUGGUACAACGAGUUGCGAACUCGCGAGAGUAAGCUAAUCUCUUAAAGCCAUUCUCAGUUCGGAUUGUAGGCUGCAACUCGCCUACAUGAAGUCGGAAUCGCUAGUAAUCGCGGAUCAGCAUGCCGCGGUGAAUACGUUCCCGGGCCUUGUACACACCGCCCGUCACACCAUGAGAGUUUGUAACACCCAAAGUCGGUGGGGUAACCUUUUAGGAACCAGCCGCCUAAGGUGGGACAGAAGAUUAGGGGUGAAAUCUUAACAGGGGAACCCGUAAAGGGG